rnacentral:rRNA from 1 species
GGUUAAGUUAGAAAGGGCGCACGGUGGAUGCCUUGGCACUAGGAGCCGAUGAAGGACGGGACGAACACCGAUAUGCUUCGGGGAGCUGUAAGCAAGCUUUGAUCCGGAGAUUUCCGAAUGGGGAAACCCACUGCUCGUAAUGGAGCAGUAUCCAUAUCUGAAUUCAUAGGAUAUGAGAAGGCAGACCCGGGGAACUGAAACAUCUAAGUACCCGGAGGAAGAGAAAGCAAAUGCGAUUCCCUGAGUAGCGGCGAGCGAAACGGGAUUAGCCCAAACCAAGAGGCUUGCCUCUUGGGGUUGUAGGACACUCUGUACGGAGUUACAAAAGAACGAGGUAGAUGAAGAGGUCUGGAAAGGCCCGCCAUAGGAGGUAACAGCCCUGUAGUCAAAACUUCGUUCUCUCCUGAGUGGAUCCUGAGUACGGCGGAACACGUGAAAUUCCGUCGGAAUCCGGGAGGACCAUCUCCCAAGGCUAAAUACUCCCUAGUGACCGAUAGUGAACCAGUACCGUGAGGGAAAGGUGAAAAGCACCCCGGAAGGGGAGUGAAAGAGAUCCUGAAACCGUGUGCCUACAAGUAGUCAGAGCCCGUUAACGGGUGAUGGCGUGCCUUUUGUAGAAUGAACCGGCGAGUUACGAUCCCGUGCAAGGUUAAGUUUGAAAAGACGGAGCCGCAGCGAAAGCGAGUCUGAAUAGGGCGCAUGAGUACGUGGUCGUAGACCCGAAACCAGGUGAUCUACCCAUGUCCAGGGUGAAGUUCAGGUAACACUGAAUGGAGGCCCGAACCCACGCACGUUGAAAAGUGCGGGGAUGAGGUGUGGGUAGGGGUGAAAUGCCAAUCGAACCUGGAGAUAGCUGGUUCUCUCCGAAAUAGCUUUAGGGCUAGCCUCAAGGUAAGAGUCUUGGAGGUAGAGCACUGAUUGGACUAGGGGCCCCUACCGGGUUACCGAAUUCAGUCAAACUCCGAAUGCCAAAGACUUAUCCUUGGGAGUCAGACUGCGAGUGAUAAGAUCCGUAGUCGAAAGGGAAACAGCCCAGACCGCCAGCUAAGGUCCCAAAGUAUACGUUAAGUGGAAAAGGAUGUGGAGUUGCUUAGACAACCAGGAUGUUGGCUUAGAAGCAGCCACCAUUUAAAGAGUGCGUAAUAGCUCACUGGUCGAGUGACUCUGCGCCGAAAAUGUACCGGGGCUAAACGUAUCACCGAAGCUGCGGACUGUUCUUACGAACAGUGGUAGGAGAGCGUUCUAAGGGCUGUGAAGCGAGACCGGAAGGACUCGUGGAGCGCUUAGAAGUGAGAAUGCCGGUAUGAGUAGCGAAAGAGGGGUGAGAAUCCCCUCCACCGAAUGCCUAAGGUUUCCUGAGGAAGGCUCGUCCGCUCAGGGUUAGUCGGGACCUAAGCCGAGGCCGAAAGGCGUAGGCGAUGGACAACAGGUUGAUAUUCCUGUACCACCUCCUCACCAUUUGAGNNNNNNNNNNNNNNNGGCUGAGCUGUGAUGGCGAGCGAAAUAUAGUAGCGAAGUUCCUGAUUCCACACUGCCAAGAAAAGCCUCUAGCGAGGUGAGAGGUGCCCGUACCGCAAACCGACACAGGUAGGCGAGGAGAGAAUCCUAAGGUGAUCGAGAGAACUCUCGUUAAGGAACUCGGCAAAAUGACCCCGUAACUUCGGGAGAAGGGGUGCUCUGUUAGGGUGCAAGCCCGAGAGAGCCGCAGUGAAUAGGCCCAGGCGACUGUUUAGCAAAAACACAGGUCUCUGCGAAGCCGUAAGGCGAAGUAUAGGGGCUGACGCCUGCCCGGUGCUGGAAGGUUAAGAGGAGCGCUUAGCGUAUGCGAAGGUGCGAAUUGAAGCCCCAGUAAACGGCGGCCGUAACUAUAACGGUCCUAAGGUAGCGAAAUUCCUUGUCGGGUAAGUUCCGACCCGCACGAAAGGCGCAACGAUCUGGGCACUGUCUCAACGAGAGACUCGGUGAAAUUAUAGUACCUGUGAAGAUGCAGGUUACCCGCGACAGGACGGAAAGACCCCGUGGAGCUUUACUGCAGCCUGAUAUUGAAUGUUGGUACAGCUUGUACAGGAUAGGUAGGAGCCUUGGAAACCGGAGCGCCAGCUUCGGUGGAGGCAUCGGUGGGAUACUACCCUGGCUGUAUUGACCUUCUAACCCGCUGCCCUUAUCGGGCAGGGAGACAGUGUCAGGUGGGCAGUUUGACUGGGGCGGUCGCCUCCUAAAAAGUAACGGAGGCGCCCAAAGGUUCCCUCAGAAUGGUUGGAAAUCAUUCGCAGAGUGUAAAGGCACAAGGGAGCUUGACUGCGAGACCUACAAGUCGAGCAGGGACGAAAGUCGGGCUUAGUGAUCCGGUGGUUCCGCAUGGAAGGGCCAUCGCUCAACGGAUAAAAGCUACCCCGGGGAUAACAGGCUUAUCUCCCCCAAGAGUCCACAUCGACGGGGAGGUUUGGCACCUCGAUGUCGGCUCAUCGCAUCCUGGGGCUGUAGUCGGUCCCAAGGGUUGGGCUGUUCGCCCAUUAAAGCGGUACGCGAGCUGGGUUCAGAACGUCGUGAGACAGUUCGGUCCCUAUCCGUCGCGGGCGCAGGAAAUUUGAGAGGAGCUGUCCUUAGUACGAGAGGACCGGGAUGGACGCACCGCUGGUGUACCAGUUGUUCUGCCAAGGGCAUCGCUGGGUAGCUAUGUGCGGACGGGAUAAGUGCUGAAAGCAUCUAAGCAUGAAGCCCCCCUCAAGAUGAGAUUUCCCAUUCCGCAAGGAAGUAAGAUCCCUGAAAGAUGAUCAGGUUGAUAGGUCUGAGGUGGAAGUGUGGCGACACAUGGAGCUGACAGAUACUAAUCGAUCGAGGACUUAACCUA